GGGCAUUUCGUCUUAUGGGUAAGACGCCUCCAGCCAUCUUAGUAUUUAGGUUUUAAGAUGAUUGGAGGAAAGGAAAGUUCGAAUCUUUCAAUGCUCACCA
rnacentral:tRNA from 1 species